rnacentral:rRNA from 1 species
UACGUAGGGUCCGAGCGUUGUCCGGAUUUACUGGGCGUAAAGAGCGCGUAGGCGGUCUUGUAAGUGUGAAGUGAAAUCUCCAGGGCUCAACCCGGAAACUGCUUUGCAUACUGCGAGACUAGAGGGAUGCAGAGGUUUGUGGAAUUCCUGGUGUAGCGGUGAAAUGCGUUGAUAUCAGGAGGAACACCCAUGGCGAAGGCAGCAAACUGGGCAUCAUCUGACGCUGAGGCGCGAAAGCGUGGGUAGCAAACAGG